rnacentral:rRNA from 1 species
GACGAACGCUGGCGGCGUGCUUAACACAUGCAAGUCGAACGGAAAGGCCCUGCUUUUGUGGGGUGCUCGAGUGGCGAACGGGUGAGUAACACGUGAGUAACCUGCCCUUGACUUCGGGAUAACUUCAGGAAACUGGGGCUAAUACCGGAUAGGAGCUCCUGCUGCAUGGUGGGGGUUGGAAAGUUUCGGCGGUUGGGGAUGGACUCGCGGCUUAUCAGCUUGUUGGUGGGGUAGUGGCUUACCAAGGCUUUGACGGGUAGCCGGCCUGAGAGGGUGACCGGCCACAUUGGGCCUGAGAUACGGCCCAGACUCCUACGGGAGGCAGCAGUGGGGAAUAUUGCACAAUGGGCGGAAGCCUGAUGCAGCAACGCCGCGUGCGGGAUGACGGCCUUCGGGUUGUAAACCGCUUUCGCCUGUGACGAAGCGUGAGUGACGGUAAUGGGUAAAGAAGCACCGGCUAACUACGUG